AGGAGAUUGAGACCAUUCUGGCUAACAAGAAUCAGGCAGCCGUUAGAACCAAAACAGUUCUGAGGAACUCCCAGGCUGCAGUGUGGUGUGAAAUGUUUUAUGGACAGAAAAUGGAAAUGAGGUACAGAAACUGGAGAUGAAAUUUCAGUCUUUAUUCAAGAUCAAGUGCAACUGUCUCUUUGAGGGAAGUCCUUUGACCCCCAUUUCUCCCCUUCAGAAGGCAAGCACCUGGGGGAGAAGAUCUGCUUAACAACCUGGUAACUGACAAAGAAUGGAAUGAGAGCGAGAACCACCUAGCCAUCCCUUCUCCUUGCACAGUCAUGAAACAAAGUUGAAAAGGAGCCUGGUUUUACUUGACCAGUCAUAAAUUACUGUAAAAUAAAAUGAGAUAUUAGGAA